rnacentral:rRNA from 1 species
UAGGGAAUCUUCCGCAAUGGACGCAAGUCUGACGGAGCAACGCCGCGUGAGUGAAGAAGGAUUUCGGUUCGUAAAACUCUGUUGUUAGAGAAGAACAGCGCAUAGAGUAACUGUUAUGCGUGUGACGGUAUCUAACCAGAAAGCCACGGCUAACUACGUGCCAGCAGCCGCGGUAAUACGUAGGUGGCAAGCGUUGUCCGGAUUUAUUGGGCGUAAAGCGAGCGCAGGCGGUCAAUUAAGUCUGAUGUGAAAGCCCCCGGCUCAACCGGGGAGGGUCAUUGGAAACUGGUUGACUUGAGUGGAGAAGAGGAGAGUGGAAUUCCAUGUGUAGCGGUGAAAUGCGUAGAUAUAUGGGGGAACACCAGUGGCGAAGGCGACUCUCUGGUCUGUAACUGACGCUGAGGCUCGAAAGCGUGGGUAGCAAACAGG